GAUGAACGCUGGCGGCGUGCCUAAUACAUGCAAGUCGAGCGAACGGACGAGAAGCUUGCUUCUCUGAUGUUAGCGGCGGACGGGUGAGUAAACCGUGGAUAACCUACCUAUAAGACUGGGAUAACUUCGGGAAACCGGCGCUAAUACCGGUUAAUAUUUUUAACCGCAUGGUUCAAAAGUGAAAGACGGUCUUGCUUUCACUUAUAGAUGGAUCCGCGCUGCAUUAGCUAGUUGGUAAGGUAACGGCUUACCAAGGCAACGAUGCAUAGCCGACCUGAGAGGGUGAUCGGCCACACUGGAACUGAGACACGGUCCAGACUCCUACGGGAGGCAGCAGUAGGGAAUCUUCCGCAAAGGGCGAAAGCCUGACGGAGCAACGCCGCGUGAGUGAUGAAGGUCUUCGGAUCGUAAAACUCUGUUAUUAGGGAAGAACAUAUGUGUAAGUAACUGUGCACAUCUUGACGGUACCUAAUCAGAAAGCCACGGCUAACUACGUG
rnacentral:rRNA from 1 species